rnacentral:rRNA from 1 species
GACGAACGCCGGCGGCGUGUUUAAGACAUGCAAGUCGCACGGGAUAAGACAUGUAGUAAUACUUGUUUUAUUUAGUGGCGCACGGGUGAGUAACACGUGAAUUACAUGCCCUAUAGUGGGGAAUAGCCCAGGGAAACUUGGAUUAAUACCCCAUGGUAUCGAAAGAUUAAAGGUGGCCGCAAGGCUGUCGCUAUAGGAUUGGUUCGCGCCCUAUCAGCUUGUUGGUGAGGUAACGGCUCACCAAGGCAAUGACGGGUACCUGGUCUGAGAGGACGAUCAGGGACCCUGGAACUGGGACACGGUCCAGACACCUACGGGUGGCAGCAGUCGAGAAUAAUUCACAAUGGGGGCAACCCUGAUGGUGCAACGCCGCGUGGAGGAUGACGGUCUUCGGAUUGUAAACUCCUGUCAUCUGGGAGAAAGACCUGACGGUAAAUAGCCGGCAGGGUUGAUAGUACCAGAAGAGGAAGGGACGGCUAACUUCGUGCCAGCCGCCGCAGUAA